rnacentral:rRNA from 1 species
UGGGGAAUAUUGGACAAUGGGCGAAAGCCUGAUCCAGCAAUGCCGCGUGAGUGAAGAAGGCCUUCGGGUUGUAAAGCUCUUUUACCCGGGAUGAUAAUGACCGUACCGGGAGAAUAAGCCCCGGCUAACUCCGUGCCAGCAGCCGCGGUAAUACGGAGGGGGCUAGCGUUGUUCGGAAUUACUGGGCGUAAAGCGCACGUAGGAGGUUUGUUACGUCAGAGGUGACAGCCCGGGGCUCAACCCCGGAAU